AGGAUAGUGAUGAUCCCAACAUGCCAUCUAAGUGCCUGUGCUGAAAUCGAGAGGCCAUUUCAGAGCCA
rnacentral:snoRNA from 1 species